AGGACGAACGCUGGCGGCGUGCUUAACACAUGCAAGUCGAGCGGUAAGGCCCUUCGGGGUACUCGAGCGGCGAACGGGUGAGUAACACGUGAGUAACCUGCCCUGGACUUUGGGAUAACCCUCGGAAACGGGGGCUAAUACCGAAUAUGACAUGGACCUGCAUGGGUUUAUGUGGAAAGUUUUUUCGGUCUGGGGUGGGCUCGCGGCCUAUCAGCUUGUUGGUGGGGUGAUGGCCUACCAAGGCGACGACGGGUAG
rnacentral:rRNA from 1 species